ACAUGCAAGUCGAACGAAGCGACUAAGACUUUUUCGUCGGAUGGAAUCUUGAGUGACUGAGCGGCGGACGGGUGAGUAACGCGUGGAUAACCUGCCUCACACUGGGGGAUAACAGUUAGAAAUGACUGCUAAUACCGCAUAAGAGCACAGUGCCGCAUGGCACAGUGGGAAAAACUCCGGUGGUGUGAGAUGGACCCGCGUCUGAUUAGCCGGUUGGCGGGGUAACGGCCCACCAAAGCGACGAUCAGUAGCCGACCUGAGAGGGUGACCGGCCACAUUGGGACUGAGACACGGCCCAAACUCCUACGGGAGGCAGCAGUGGGGAAUAUUGCACAAUGGGCGAAACCCUGAUGCAGCGACGCCGCGUGAGUGAAGAAGUAUUUCGGUAUGUAAAGCUCUAUCAGCAGGGAAGAAAAUGACGGUACCUGACUAAGAAGCCCCGGCUAACUACGUGCCAGCAGCCGCGGUAAUACGUAGGGGGCAAGCGUUAUCCGGAUUUACUGGGUGUAAAGGGAGCGUAGACGGCGAAGCAAGUCUGAUGUGAAAACCCAGGGCUCAACCCCGGGACUGCUUUGGAAACUGUAUAGCUAGAGUGUCGGAGAGGCAAGUGGAAUUCCUAGUGUAGCGGUGAAAUGCGUAGAUAUUAGGAGGAACACCAGUGGCGAAGGCGGCUUACUGGACGAUAACUGACGUUGAGGCUCGAAAGCGUGGGGAGCAAACAGGAUUAGAUACCCUGGUAGUCCACGCCGUAAACGAUGGAUGAUAGGUGGUGGGGGACAAAGGCUAUUGGUGGCGGCGCCAACGCAGUUAGCAAUUCCCCUGGGGAGUACGUUUGCAAGGAAGGAAAUUAAAGGAAAUGGCGGGGGACCGCACCAGCGGUGGAGCCAGUGGUUUAAUUUGGAGGAACGGGGAGGACCUUAACAAGUUUUGACAUUCCCGAGGCGGGCUGGUAACGGGGCGUUUCUUUUGGGACAGUGGGGGCCGGUGGUGCAAGGUUGUUGUCAGCUUGUGUUGUGAGAAGGUGGGGUAAGUUCCGCAACGAGGGCCACCCUUAUUCUUAGUAGGCAGCCAGUGAGGGUGGGCACUCUAGGGAGACUGCCAGGGAUAACCUGGAGGAAGGUGGGGAUGACGUCAAAUCAUCAUGCCCCUUAUGAUCAGGGCUACACACGUGCUACAAUGGCGUAAACAAAGGGAAGCGAGACAGUGAUGGCGGAGCAAAUCCCAAAAAUAACGUCUCAGUUCGGACUGUAGUCUGCAACUCGACUACACGAAGCUGGAAUCGCUAGUAAUCGCGAAUCAGAAUGUCGCGGUGAAUACGUUCCCGGGUCUUGUACACACCGCCCGUCACACCAUGGGAGUCAGCAACGCCCGAAGUCAGUGACCCAACCGAAAGGAGGGAGCUGCCGAAGGCGGGGCAGGUAACUGGGGUGAAGUC
rnacentral:rRNA from 1 species